CGAAAAAAAGCUGCAUAUGCGCGUUAAUCUGCUAAUCCCUAAUAAGAGCACUCGAACAUUGAGGCGAUAAUAAAACUGAAGCCACCAGGCGAUAACGGUCAAUCAUGAUUACAUGGCAUUGCAAAUACGAUUAUCGGAUCGAUCGGACCGAUAGAGAGACGUUCGAAGAAGCGACCGAGGAAGUGUUAAGAAGAAAAAGAGAAUCCUCUAGAAGGCGAGAAAGACAACGACACAGACAAAAGAGGCAGUGAUCAUUGAUAAAUGAUUUAUGCAAGCCACUUGACUCUCAUUAAUAUCUCCCGUCACUCGAUAUAUUGGAUCUAUAUCUUCUAUUAUUUCUCACAGAGAUCAGUAUUCUGAUCAAUGAUAUUGCGAUAAUAGCGCCUCUGUUGGCAGAUUCUUUUGUUUCAAACAUAACCUAGAAUUAAGAACAUUAACGUACGAAUGUCGAGCAAAAGACGCACGUGUUUCUUUAAAAUAAUAAUGCGAUAAAACAAAGUCUUCGGAUCAUAUAAUGGCAAUAUUCUUAUCUUGGAGAUACCGUUGUGUUAAAUAAGGAUACUGCUAUAUGUGUCACAAGUGCAAGGAGUAUUCAAUAACACGUCUACAUGGAGGUCAUCACAAGUGCCUACAUCUGCCGCUUUUUCUCAAAUCCAAUGGAUCCAAUAUCAAGCGUAUGCAAAGAAAAAUAUGCUGUUACUUACUAAAGUCUCCCGGACAAGAUUUGCAACACCUGCCAGGAAGGAGAACUGGCUCUUUGCACCGAGUUUCUCCAUCAGCCUGUUCAUACUACUGGACACGUUCGCGGUGACGUUUGAAAGUGUGAUUGUAAUGUUUUCGAACCUGUAAACGUGCUUACAUGUUUAUUACUCCUUUACGCAUCGCUGACGACGACAGUUGCAACGUUUACAUGCACGGCGUGCAUAAAUCUAUCGUCAAGUAAUUGAUGUCUUACUCGAGCUCGACCGUGUUGUUCUUUACGAUGCAUUCAUAGCUCGAUGGUACAUACACGAUUCGAUUCAUGAACAACGCACAUUCGUCUAGAAGAAACAUUCCUUACUUGUGCAUUUUUGUACAGGAAUAUAUAUAAUAUAUUUCUGUAUAUGUAUAACAGUAUCCAUCGAAAUUUCAUGAUGAUAACGAAGGAACACGAUCGUAAUUAUAAUUUGUGAUCAAAUAUCAUAAAAGGUUAUGUGAGAUUUCAAUACAUAGGCGUAGACAGAGACAAAACUAAAUGAUCAGAUAGCGGAUCUAGGUAUCGAUGACGUUUAAUCAAACUGGAACUAGUAUUAUCUACUUAAGUUCUAUUUGUUAUAUAUCCUUGUAGUACACGUGUAGAUUACUUAAUAAGUAAUCGAAAUUAGUAUCCACGUUGUUGUAUGAGUCAGCUGUGUUUAACGGAACUUUAUUGAUAUUUGUUUCCACUACCUGCUCAAUUAUUUCUCUACCAGACUGUUACUUGUUUGUUUAAGUUGCAUAUAAUGUAACCAGAUAAUAAAAUAAUGAUAUAAAUAAUAAUAUA
rnacentral:lncRNA from 1 species